rnacentral:rRNA from 1 species
GUGCCAGCAGCCACGGUAAUACGGAAGGUCCGGGCGUUAUCCGGAUUUAUUGGGUUUAAAGGGAGCGCAGGCCGUAGUUAAGCGUGCCGUGAAAUGUACCGGCUCAACCGGUGAGUUGCGGCGCGAACUGGCUUACUUGAGUGAGUACGAGGAUGGCGGAAUUCGUGGUGUAGCGGUGAAAUGCUUAGAUAUCACGAAGAACUCCGAUUGCGAAGGCAGCUGUCCAGUCCUUAACUGACGCUAAUGCUCGAAGGUGCGGGUAUCGAACAGGAUUAGAUACCCUGGUAGUCCGCACGGUAAACGAUGGAUGCCCGCUGUCGGCGAUAAAAUGUCGGUGGCUAAGCGAAAGCGUUAAGCAUCCCACCUGGGGAGUACGCCGGCAACGGUGAAACUCAAAGGAAUUGACGGGGGCCCGCACAAGCGGAGGAACAUGUGGUUUAAUUCGAUGAUACGCGAGGAACCUUACCCGGGCUUGAACUGCAGCAGUCGGAUCCAGAGAUGGUGACUCCCUUCGGGGCUGCUGUGGAGGUGCUGCAUGGUUGUCGUCAGCUCGUGCCGUGAGUGUCGGCUUAAGUGCCAUAACGAGCGCAACCCUUUUCGCUAUUGCCAUCAGGUAGAGCUGGGCACUCUGGCGAUACUGCCACCGUAAGGUGUGAGGAAGGUGGGGAUGACGUCAAAUCAGCACGGCCCUUACGUCCGGGGCUACACACGUGUUACAAUGGGGCAUACAGAAAGCAAGCCGCCGGCGACGUCGGCUGAAUCAUUAAAGUGCUCCUCAGUUCGGAUUGGGUCUGCAACCCGACCCCAUGAAGCUGGAUUCGCUAGUAAUCGCGCAUCAGCCAUGGCGCGGUGAAUAGCGUUCCCGGGCCUUGUACACACCGCCCGU